rnacentral:siRNA from 1 species
AGUGAGAAAAGAUGUCGAACGUGC